UACGGAGGAUCCAAGCGUUGUCCGGAUUUAUUGGGUUUAAAGGGUGCGUAGGCGGUCUAUUAAGUCAGUUGUGAAAUACGGCAGCUCAACUGUCGAGGUGCAAUUGAUACUGAUGGACUUGAGUACUGAUGAGGUAAGCGGAAUGGACGGUGUAGCGGUGAAAUGCUUAGAUAUCGUCCAGAACACCGAUAGCGAAGGCAGCUUACUAAGGAGUAACUGACGCUGAGGCACGAAAGUGUGGGGAUCAAACAGG
rnacentral:rRNA from 1 species